UACGUAGGGGACGAGCGUUGUCCGGAAUUACUGGGCGUAAAGGGCGCGCAGGCUGUAGAUCAAGUCAGCUGUGAAAUGUCUGGGCUUAACCCGGGCAUGCGGUUGAAACUGAUGUACUGGAGUGCUGUAGAGGCAAGUGGAAUUCCCAGUGUAGCGGUGAAAUGCGUAGAUAUUGGGAAGAACACCGGUGGCGAAGGCGACUUGCUGGGCAGCAACUGACGCUGAGGCGCGAAAGCCAGGGGAGCAAACAGGAUUAGA
rnacentral:rRNA from 1 species